rnacentral:tRNA from 4 species
GCCCAGGUGGUGGAAUUGGCAGACACGUUAGCUUCAGGAGCUAAUGCCGAAAGGUUUGGGAGUUCGAAUCUCCCCCUGGGCA